UAGGGAAGGCAGCGGUGGGGAAUAUUGCACAAUGGGCGAAAGCCUGAUGCAGCUAUGCCGCGUGUAUGAAGAAGGCCUUAGGGUUGUAAAGUACUUUCAUCGGGAAGGAAAAACAAAACUAAUAAUUUUAUUUCUUGACGUUACCCGAAAAAGAAGCACCGGCUAACUCCGUGCCAGCAGCCGCGGUAAUACGGAGGGUGCUAGCGUUAAUCAGAAUUACUGGGCGUAAAGAGCACGUAGGUGGUUUUUUUAAGUCAGAUGUGAAAUCCCUGGGCUUAACCUGGAACUGCAUUUUGAAACUGAAAUACUAGAGUAUCGUAGAGGGAGGUAGAAUUCUAGGUGUAGCGGUGAAAUGCGUAGAUAUCUGGAGGAAUACCUGUGGCGAAAGCGGCCUCCUAAACGAAUACUGACACUGAGGUGCGAAAGCGUGGGGAGCAAACAGGGAUUAGAUACC
rnacentral:rRNA from 1 species